UACGUAGGGGGCAAGCGUUGUCCGGAUUUAUUGGGCGUAAAGAGCGUGUAGGCGGCUUGGAAGGUCAGCUGUGAAAACUCCAGGCUCAACCUGGAGACGCCACCUGAUACUGCUGUGGCUAGAGUCCGGUAGGGGAGCAUGGAAUUCCUGGUGUAGCGGUGAAAUGCGCAGAUAUCAGGAGGAACACCAGUGGCGAAGGCGGUGCUCUGGGCCGGAACUGACGCUGAGGAGCGAAAGCGUGGGGAGCAAACAGG
rnacentral:rRNA from 1 species